AUCCAGAUCCGGGAUAAAAAGCAGGAUUUUGGCUGAUCCAGCAAACUCUGGCUUUCCUGAUUCAAACCAGAGAAUCCCAGAUCUGAUCUGGGAACCUGAAUUCAGACCCUCAGAUAAAUCUGGGUAAACCUGGGAAACAUGACUUCAGCCUUCCUGGGCUUCUCCCACUAUUUUCCAAGAGGGAAGGGGGAGAAGAGGGGAGUGAGUAGUCAAUCUGUGUAGGACCUCUCCUUGUCUGCCUGGCUUCUGUGAGUGACACUGGUUCUGUGGGGCUAAGUUGCAACUGUGUCCCUUGCUUCAGUUUGAUAUGGAUAGAAAACAGGGUUGCACUUACCUGUAACUGUUGUUCAUUGAGGUCUUCUGUGCAUUCCCACAUGGGACUGCGCUUGCGCAGGCCUACCAGCCGGAGGAUUUGUAGCUAAUUUUUACCACUAGAGGGCGCUCGACGCCUCCCAGAGUGCAGGCGUGGCUGUUUCUCCACCAAAACAGCCCCUAACCGGGAGGCACGGCACCCUCUGCCCCCAGCUCCUCUUGCCGCCGCACUCCUCAGCAUGAAGAGCACCAGUGGGGAAGGAGGGAGGGCAUGUGUGCCUGCACAGAAGACCUCAGUGAACAACAGUUAUAGGUAAGUGCAGCCCUGUUUUCAUCGUUGGUCUUCUGUGCAUCCCCACAUGGGAGAUCAACAAGCUUCUCACCUGCACGGUGGAGUCUCCUCUUCAGCGAAAGAUGGAUUGCAGGAUGGCUGUGCCCGCUGUUGUCUCUUGUCUGUCAAGGACGUCUAGGGCGUCGUGCCUCACAAAAGUGUCCGCCAACAACCAAAUCGCUGCCCUGCAUAUGUCCAGCAGAGGGACUCCUUUCAGGAAUGCUGUCAGAUACACCCCUGUAUAUCUGCCAUGACUGGAUGUUUGCAUAAUGUCCCGAUCCUCUGAGAAUGUAUAAAGGGCUCCUACUUGCUACUUGGUUGCAAUUAGGUUGCUUAGCUCGCAGGUGUUUUGCUUUCGUUUUCCCAGCCGGCUUGAGAACGUGGCCUUGAAGUGCCAGCUGGAGCCAGUCCUCUCUGAGAACUGUGAUGAACUCAUCUCUCCCUGUUCCCUUCUCCCCGCAAGCCUGGACCCUUCGCGCCAAAACCCUAACGGUCUCCCAUUCCCAGGGGCAGGAACGUUCCCCUAUAAUUAACACUGCUCAUCCACCUUUCGUCACUUCUGCCAAUGACCCUGUCUGAGCACCUUGAUACUGAUACAUCUCUAAUAAAGCAACUUUAACUUUUACAUGAGUGUCUGAAUAAAGCGCUUGGGGACUUAUCUGGCAAGACCUGACAAACACCAUCGAUGUCACCUCUGACCUCAUGGAAUGCGCACGGACUCCCAAAGGACUAGGAAGAAGUUCGAAUAGAAGCCUAACCGCUCCUGCUUGUUGGACACCUGCUGCACAGCCCCCUUUUAAAUGAGUGCCUCUAGCUCAGCCAAGAGUUCAGGUCGUGUGUCAGGAGGUGAUUUACCAGGAAGAUGCAGGCUUCCAAGGCAGCAGGAUGAUAAUCAUCAGGCUAAGAGAUGCAACUCAAAAUGCCAAGGGGGACGGGCAGGGAGGCAGAUGCAAGCAAGGAGGGCCAGCAGAAUUUUCGAUGGACUUUCCCCUUCUUCCUGGAUCGUUGCUCUGCAGAGCACAACGAUUUGACUCCCUGCAGGAGCAGGGCCGGUAAAAACUGCGCGCCAGGGAAGAGCCCUCCCAGAGGGGAUCGUCUGAUUCCACCGACCCUGCUAAGGAGGAGGAGCUACUUCCCAUCAGUCUAGACUGACCCGCUCCUAGACCACGGGAGAAUCUGAUUGAAAGGAUUCGAGACAGCUGAAAUGGAUAAAUGGUUGAGUUUAUUGAAACAGAUGGACAAUACAAUAUAUAAUGACAUUUGGGACCCAUUUUAUAGCUGGAUUCAGAGGAAAUCUGAAGAAACCUAGCUUUCAGAUAGGAUGAAGAUUUUUAUGGACAUUAUUUAAAAUGAAUGGGAAAAUUUGCAAAUAAGCAGCUGAUCUGCAGAACACAUUGAAGAAAUAUAUUAGAUUGUAAGGUGCAAUGUAUUAGUCAUAUAUAAUAUGAAUU